rnacentral:lncRNA from 1 species
UAUGAAGCAACAUAGUCAGCUGUCUUAUCAGCCUCCUAAUAAAUAUGGAUAAUCCGAAAGACAACAUAGUUUCUGAACAACCUACGAUGGUGGAUAUAGUCACGCGAUCCAAAUUGGCUUUGAAUCUAUUCGAUCAUCGUAGUCCGGUCCUCUUCCAUCCAUUCACUCUAGGGCAAUCGGGCAAGCACGCUUUUGGUGAUUUCUAAGCAGGCAAGAUCGGUCGGUGUUUUUGCCUUCCGCGUAACC